UCAUCAAAUACGCUAUGGAAAUCACAACAACAUACUAUCAUAAAUUGCAUUAUAUGACCUGUCUAAACUUAUUUAACCCUUUUCUGGGCGACCCUUUUCUGAAUUGAGAAAGAGUCGAAGUGUUGAGUUCAGUAUAAGACAUAUACACUCGUCGUCAACGAUACUUUGGUUCGAUUUUCGGUUUUUUUUCCUCGAGCUACCACCCCUAGCACUAUCUGGCAGUGUUCCCAACCGUUACAUUAUUAUCCUAUACGAUAAUGAGUAUGAGUAUGAGUCAUACUGUACAAUUGGCACUAAUGAGUAUGAAAACACUCAACGCAUGGUGACGUAUCAUUUAAAUCGGUUUAUAUCGCCAAAAACGCCUCAACUUAACAGUCCACUAGAAGCACGCUAUGCCCAGCUGAGCGGAAUUAUCGAUAUAGUAACUAUAAGUUGCCCAAGUUACCCAUUUCAUUUUCUGUCAAUUUCUGUGAAGUUAUACCUUAUAGUGGAAAAUAAAGUGCCCAAUUUUGAAUAUCUAAAAUGUCAUCUCGACAAAAGUCCAUCUCGGCCUACUUUGCACCUGCGAAAAAAGAAAAGUAGAUGAAGAUGUUGCGACAGUACAUCGAGAAGAAAACGAGGUUCCUCGUGCAGUGACGCACAGUGCACCUAACCAUGAUGAAGGCAUUGACAAUUCUGGCAGCGAAACUUCUUCCAAAAACUCCGACAUUGCGCAAGUUUCUACCAUUGCUGUAAACAUUUCCAAUGAUGUUGGUAAUUUCGUGGGGCAAAAAAUUGACGAUCACGUGAAACCAAUUUUGCUUGAAAAUCCUCUAAAAAAUUAUAUUUUCCCAUUUUCGUCGAGAGUUGUUUCUGGCAAAGAAAUAAAACACUACGACUCUUCCAAACACUUGGAUUCUCAUGCAGAGUGGCUCGUACUAUCUGCAAAUAUUGUCAUGGUUUACGCAUGGACAAUAUUUGCAGAAUAGCAGAAUAGUUUGGAAGAGUACGUAUCCAGCAGACUGCUGAAUACCAUCAAAGAAGAUUUGGAAGCUCGUUUUUCACAAGAAGUUUUGGAUGGUUACCAAUUGAGUGUGUUGCUCCCAGAAAAAGCGAGUCUUUUAAAUAAAAACGAAAUCGAUGAUCUAAUCGGAUGGUUGAUAGAAAGAUUCGGGAAUCUUCUGGAUGAUGACAAGAGCGUACAAAAAUUGAAAUUCAAAGGUGAAUUGAGUUACUGGCAAUGUCACUGGCUGCAGCAACAAAAAAUUGAAUGCAACGAAAUUCCAACUUCUGCACUGGAAACACUAAGAAAAUGUGUCGACAUAUUCCCAACAAUCCACACCUAUCUCCGAGUAUUCUGUACUCUUCCCGUAACAAACGCGAGCUCUGAACGUUCUUUCUCUUAUCUUCGCCGCAUCAAAACAUGGCUUAGGACGACCAUGCUUCAAGAAAGACUAGUUGGAUUAGCGUUGCAUCAUGACAUCGAAAUCACCGCCGAAGAAGUCAUCGAAAGAUUCGCAAAACUUGGCAGCCAUCGUUUUGCGUUAUGAAACACGCAAUGUAAAAGCAUUUUUCUGUUUGAAUUUCGAAUAAAAUGAGCCACUCUGUAAUGCAUGCA